rnacentral:lncRNA from 1 species
GACAGAUGCAACUGCAAAAACCAGUCAGGGAUGUCAGAGGAGGAACCGAGACCAGCAUGUGGCCUCAGUCCUGAAAAGCUACUUGUGUUCGCGCCAGGGGCCAAGCCCUACCAAGGGGUAAGGGCUAAGAAGAAACCGUAGCCCUCAAGCAGGGCCAGGCUGGGGGUCUCUGUUCUUGGCAGGGGCUGGGAAGAAGCCUGGGAUCCCUGGCGAAGCUGUGGAGACCGACAAAGGCCUGUGGGCAGCUGUUCUAUUCUUGGCUGCACUUUACACAAAAUUCCUUAAAAGAGAUGUGCGCUCGAGGCUUUCUGGUCAAGAUGACAGAGUGGCAGGACCACAAGCUCGCCUCUCCUCGUGACUACAACGAAACUACAGCUGACUGCUAGACAACCAUCGAAAAAAAGACUGGAACCUAGAAAAGAAGAUUGUCUUCAACUGGAAACAUAAAGAGGGAACCACAGCAGGACGGUAGGAGGGGCGUGCUCACAAUAUAACUGGGCCCCAUACCCUCUGGGUUGGUGGCCCACAAGCAGUAGAAUAAUUAAGUCGCAGAGGCCCUCCCACAGGAGUGAGAGUUCUAAGCCCCACAUCCGGCUCCCCAGCCCAGGGUUCUGACAUUGGGAGGAGGAAGAGACCCCAGGACAACUGGUUUUGAAGUCCAGUGGGGCUUAACUACAGGAGCCCCACAGGACUGGGGGAAACAGGCUUCACUCUCUUGGGAAGCUUACAUAGAAUCUUGAGUGCCAGGUCCAAAGGCAGAGGCAGUGAUUUUAUAGGAACCUGGGCCAGGCCUGCCUUCUGGUUUUGGAGGGUCUCCUGGGGACACAGGGGACAGCUGCAGCUCACCCAGGGGACAUAAAAGCUGGUGGCAGACAUUCCAGGAAUGUUCAUCUACAUGAGCUUUCCUGGAGGCUGAUAUCUUGACUGGAUCUUUAGCACCAAGAACUAGCCCUACCCAAUAGCCUAAAGGGAAGCCUCAGGCCAAACAACAUACAGGGUGGGAACACAGCCCCACCCAUCAGCAGACUUCCUAAGCCACAAAGGCCUCUAAACACAGCCCUUCCCACCAGAGAUCCA